UCCACCCAUGCAUCCCAGACUGGAGUCCAUUUUCCCAUCACUGCAUUCUCAGAGCAGGCCAGGCAUCUCCUGUCACUGACCAAAGGAAGGCCACAUCACUGCAGACCAACCAGAGACCUGCACGUGAAUUAAUCACGUACUGCUCAAUCCCAACUUUAAGAUUUAUUUAUUUAUUUAUUUGAAAGUCAGAGUUACACAGAGAGCAGAGAGGCAGACAGAGAGAAGUCUUCCACCCACUGGUUCACUCCCCAGGUGGCCGCAACAGCCGGAGCUGCAGUAAUCCGAAGCCAGGAGCCAGGAGCUUUUUUCAGGUCUCCCACGUGGGUACAGGAGCCCAAGGACUUAGGCCAUCUUCUACUGCUUUCCCAGGCCAUAGCAGAGAUCUAGAUUGGAAGUGGAGCAGCCAGGACUCAACUGGCACCCAUAUAGGAUGCCGGGACUGCAGGCAGCGGCUUUACUCACUACACUACAGUGCCAGCCCCAUGUGAUCUUAAGCAUUAAACAUGGCCACUGUUCUGUAAAACCUCAGAGUGUACUUUCAAGAAUACUUGAAUUUGUGCUUUCCUGAAAUGUGAUCUGAACAAGCCCCAGAGCGGCUGUUCACUGGGCAGGCUGGUCCUCAUCCAUGUGGCCUCUCAUCCUCCUGUGGGCAUGGUGCCCUAGGCAAGGAGUCUUGAGACACAGCUCGGAAGUUGUCCAGCAAUGCAUCCACCACACUCUCAUGACCACGGCAAGGCACAGGCUAGUGCAAAUUCAGGAGCGGAGACACAGACCUUACUUUUAGAUGCAGAGUACCGGCCAGCGCCAUGGCUCACCUGGUUAAUCCUCCACCUGCAGCAGCACCGGCAUCCCAUAUGGGCACCUGAUUCUAUUCCUGGUUGUUCCUCUUCCAGUCCAGCUCUCUGCUGUGGCCCGGGAGUGCAGUGGAGGAUGGCCCAAGAGCUUGGGCCCUGCACCCCAUGGGAGACCAGCAGAAGCACCUGGUCCCUGGCUUCGGAUCGGCACAGUGCCAGCUGUAGAGGCCAUGUUGGGGGGUGAACCAACGGAAGGAAGACCUUUCUCUCUCUCUCUCUCUCUCUCUCUCUCUCUCUCACUGUCUAACUCUAGCUGUCAAAUAAAAAAAAAUAGAUGCAGAGUAUCAUGUUGCACGUAUGCAUGCUUAUAGGGAGGGGAGGAAUCCCUGCAGCCACUUUAUAAACUGUGACAAACCAGGUUUCAACAUCAUUUUCUGGACUUGCUGACAAAGGGCCUAACUAGAAUAAAAAGGAGGCCAACACAAAGAGUGCUCAACAGAGAAAGGACAAGGAGUGGGGAACGACACUGCAAGAUGCACUCCAAGAAGAAACCCCUGGUUGGUUAAACACCAUUAGUCUACACAAGCGGACUAAAAUACUCUUAGACCUUAAACUCUCUUGACUUUGUUAGUUAUCUGGGUAAAAUUCUAACUUCACAGACAGGGCUGUCAAUCAGAUACAUCAAAGACAUAAAACAAUAAAAACCAUUUCUAGCUACAAAUUGCUCACACUUGUUACUAAUCAUCUGGACAGUGUAACUUGACCUUUUCUCAAUUCCCACACUUUUUGUCUUCUCAACACAUAUCCCUGCUGAUAUCCUUGGCCACUUCCCACAUCUCUGCUUCCUGGAUAAAGAAUGUAUUGAUGGGGCCGGCACUGUGGCAUAGCGGGUAAAGCCGCUGCCUGUAGUGCCGGCAUCCCAUAUAGGCACUGGUUCAUGUCCCGGCUGCUCCACUUCCAAUCCAGCUCUCUGCUAUGGCCUGGGAAAGGAGUAGAAGAUGGCCCAAGUUUUUGGGCCCCUGCACCUACAUGGGAUACCCGGAAGAAGCUCCUGGCUCCUGGCUUCAGAUCAGCACAGCUCCAGCUGUUGUGGCCAAUUGGGGAAUGAACCAGCAGAUGGGAGAUCUCUCCCUCUGUCUCUCUCUCUCUCUCUCUCCCUCUCCUUCUCUCUCUGUGUAACUCUAACUUUCAAAUAAAUAGAUAUUUUUUUUUUAAAAAAAAGGAUAUAUUGAUGCAAAAACUAAAAGCAUGUUGAACACCUAAAGCAGGAGUGAGGAAUAUCCAGCCAUCUGGCCAUAUAAGGCUCAUGAAAUCAUUUGGUUUAACACUGCCAAGGCAACUGCAGGCGAGACUUGAAAUUCAAUAAAUCUAUGAGGUUUUCUCAUAGCAACAGAAAUUUAUAUUAAGUGAAUCCCACUAAUAACAUAAAUUUUGAGGGACAAGCAAGGAACAUCCAUUACUGAACAGACAGGACCCACAUGGGUACACGAUGGGGUAGACACGUAGGCUUCUCAUUGGCUCCCCACAGCCCGCCUGGCUAAACUGCACUGACUCAAAGGACAGAUGUUGCCAGGUAGGCUGGGAGGAUGUGUGUUGGGACAGUGUAAAUGCACUGUGGCAAACUGUGGUGGGCCCACCGGUGACGAAACAGAUGCUGUAAAAUGAUUCUCCACAACACGGAUGGCCAGCGGUGACGCUGUUGACUUCUUUGCUGAGAGAAGAUAAAUCCAAUCGAACUCUAAUCCACACAUCCAUGAUCAACAAUCCCUGAGAAAAUGGAAUCACCCCAGUCUCGGUCCAAGAGGUUUCAUUAUGGACCACUGCCCCAGGCACCAAGAAGGUCUCUGUGCACAGCUGUUGUAUGGACCACUGCCCCAGGCACCAAGAAGGUCUCUGUGCACAGCUGUUGUAUGGACCACUGCCCCAGGCACCAAGAAGGUCUCUGUGCACAGCUGUUGUAUGGACCACUGCCCCAGGCACCAAGAAGGUCUCUGUGCACAGCUGUUGUAUGGACCACUGCCCCAGGCACCAAGAAGGUCUCUGUGCACAGCUGUUGUAUGGACCACUGCCCCAGGCACCAAGAAGGUCUCUGUGCACAGCUGUUGUAUGGACCACUGCCCCAGGCACCAAGAAGGUCUCUGUGCACAGCUGUUGUAUGGACCACUGCCCCAGGCACCAAGAAGGUCUCUGUGCACAGUUGUUGCAGCUCAACAACGGGAUGUCAACAGCAGAAUCAUGGGGCUGGUGCUGUGGUGUAUCGGGUCAAGCUGCCACCUGCAGUGCUGGAAUCCCAUACAGGUGCCAAUUUGAGUUCCAGCUGCUUCACUUCUGAUCCAGCUCUCUGCUGUAGCUUGGGAAAGCAGUGGAAGAUGGCCCAAGUCCUUGGGCCCCUGCACCCGUGUGGGAGACCAGAAAGAAGCUCCUGGCUCCUGGCUUCGGAUUAGCACAGCUCUGGCCAUUGCAGCCAUUUGGGGAGCGAACCAGUGGAUGGAGGACCUCUCUCUCUCUCUCUCUCUCUCUCUCUCUCUCUUACUCUCUUUCUCUCUGCCUCUAUAACUCUGCCUUUCAAAUAAAAAAUAAAUCUUAAAAAAAAAAACAGUAGAAUCAUGAAUAAAUUUUAUCAAAAACAGAGAGCUUAACAGCUGCCAGUUUAAGGAGUUACUGAAUGAUCCUGACUCUGAGUCCAGUGAUCCUGUUUGUCUCUGUAAAGUGUGGUGGCUGAGCUGUGGGAACAAGCUCAUCAGCUUUUACAACCUGUGGGAUGAAGUCAAGUUGUACAGAUGAAGGAUAAUCCUGUCAGGGAAACUCAAGACAGCAAGUGGCUGUGUGGAUCUAUCACCCACGCAGGACAUGACCAGGUGCCUCUCAGGGGUGGACGUCAAGCUGCAGGGCCCCGACCAGCUUCUCAGCUCCCUGCUUCAGAUGUGAAAGCACUGGACACUAAAUCAGGGCUGUGGAAAGUCGAUCUCAAAAGGAAUAACACAGCCGGCGCCAUGGCUCACUAGGCUAAUCCUCCGCCUGCGGCGCCGGCACACUGGGUUCUAGUCCCAGUUGGGGCGCCGGCUCUGUCCCGGUUGUCCCUCUUCCAGGCCAGCUCUCUGCUGUGGCCCAGGAGUGCAGUGGAGGAUGGCCCAGGUCCUUGGGCCCUGCACCCACAUGGGAGACCAGAAGAAGCACCUGGCUCCUGGUUUAGGAUUGGUGCAGCGCACCGGCCGCAAUGCGCCAGCCGUAGCGGCCACUUAGGAGGUGAACCAAUGGAAAAAGGA